CCAAAAUAAAAAGAUCAAGAGAAAAUUUGUUAGAAAUUCAGUUUUAGUAUUCAGGAAUAUAAAAAAAAGAAUGCAUUUAGGAGAUAAAAGAGUUCAUUUCUGUCCUUCAGAGCACUUCUUUUUACUUAUGAACCAGCAAGCGGUUUUCUUCCAGCUUACCGUUGCCACGGUAAUGGCCAGGCUGCCAGUAUGCGGAUUACUGGUUAAUAGGGCCAGGACUGAAGAGUAGCACAAUGAAGCUCCAAUCAGCAGUUUAAAGUCAAAAACAAGUGAAGACGUCCCGUUUUACUGGAAAAUGACCUAUUGACCGCUGUGCAGUGCUUUGUUGGUCACGACUCAUUAAAGUUAACGGGAAACAUGAAGGGAAGGAGCUCCGGCGACCCUCAUCCAGAACAGGAAACAGCCAAGGGGGACGAGCGGCGACCAUCCUCAGGGACAAGGAACAUGAAGAGGAGUAGCUCCAGCGACCCUCCACAGGAGCAGAAAGCAUGGGCCUGAUGAU